ACUCCUGCGGGAGGCAGCAGUGGGGAAUAUUGCACAAUGGGCGCAAGCCUGAUGCAGCCAUGCCGCGUGUAUGAAGAAGGCCUUCGGGUUGUAAAGUACUUUCAGCGGGGAGGAAGGCGAUAAGGUUAAUAACCUUGUUGAUUGACGUUACCCGCAGAAGAAGCACCGGCUAACUCCGUGCCAGCAGCCGCGGUAAUACGGAGGGUGCAAGCGUUAAUCGGAAUUACUGGGCGUAAAGCGCACGCAGGCGGUCUGUCAAGUCGGAUGUGAAAUCCCCGGGCUCAACCUGGGAACUGCAUUCGAAACUGGCAGGCUAGAGUCUUGUAGAGGGGGGUAGAAUUCCAGGUGUAGCGGUGAAAUGCGUAGAGAUCUGGAGGAAUACCGGUGGCGAAGGCGGCCCCCUGGACAAAGACUGACGCUCAGGUGCGAAAGCGUGGGGAGCAAACAGGAUUAGAAACCCCAGUAGUCCCAUG
rnacentral:rRNA from 1 species